GGAGGCUAGUAUCGGGCAAAGAGUUUGCUAAUCCGGUCAGGUCGAAAGAAGCAGCCGUAACAAAUUUCUUUGGGUCGAUUUCUAGUCUCCUAC
rnacentral:SRP_RNA from 1 species